CUCACACACACUCCCAGCCCAUCUCCAGCAACACAUAGCCCCCUGCCUCUCCAGAGGGCCCCCCAAAUUCCGGUUUUCUCUCACCCUAGAGACUGCUACAAGGAGAAAGGGGCAAAGGAGGCUGCAGGGAGCCAUUAAAAGAUAAGGACUCCCUCCUCCCUUAGAGCCCCUGGAGACAGGUCGGAAGAAGCCAGCCUGAGAAACAACGAGACAGAACCCCAAAAGGGGCAGCUGUCUUGCAACUACACCCACUUCAACUCAAGAUGGGAAAGGGGCAACAGGACACUGAGCCAUGCAGCAGGGCGGAGUCUGUGGAGUUGAAAUCAGGACACGCCGAGAGGAAGAGUUAUAUAACCCUCCUGAGAAGCAGAGAAGGACGAGUGGAGCCGGGGACAGACAGUCCGAAAGGAGCCAAGGGAGGUGCAAAAAUCACUAGAGAGAGCUCAAAGGAAACGUGAGGGAAAGGGUUGGUAUGCAUAUCAAAAAGCAGGAAUUCACAAAAAAAAAUGAGCAUGACGAACCCCUGGCCAAGUCACCUGGACUUGUAAGAGGCUUCUUACACUGUCCUGCCGGGUCACUACACUAACCGCAGCUAGGCCUGGGCGGGUGAAAUGGAAAUGGGUACAUGUACCCACUCCUUUUUUGUGGAAACAACCUAAGCUAGAGCUCGGGAAAGCCGCGACUGAGCCUAGGGGGCCGGAAACCACAGCUCCGCCCUGCCCACCUGGGAACUUUGGGGCGCCAGCUGGGGAGGGCGAUUGGGAACACAGGUAGCCAUCCUUCCCACCAGAGACUGACAUAAACAGUCGACACCCGGCUAAAGAGCGCAAAUCCAC